GCAGAUUUGAAGAAUCAGCUGGGAGAUGCUGGAUACGUAUUAUUUGGAGUGGUGUUAUUUGUUUGGGAACUCUUACCUACCACCUUAGUCGUUUAUUUCUUCCGAGUUAGAAAUCCUACAAAGGACCUUACCAACCCUGGAAUGGUCCCCAGCCAUGGAUUCAGUCCCAGAUCUUAUUUCUUUGACAACCCUCGAAGAUAUGACAGUGAUGAUGACCUUGCCUGGAACAUUGCCCCUCAGGGACUUCAGGGAGGAAAAAACACCUUGGAUCUGCCUAUUUCUAAAUUCUAAUUCAAUGAACAAUGAGGACAUUUUAAUAAAAAGCUUGC
rnacentral:sRNA from 1 species